GCGCUGCGCGCCGGCCCUCUUCUUUCUGGGUGACUGGGCUUCCUCGGCGGGGAGCAAAAUGGGGUUCGAGCUGGAACUGAGAUAGCCAGGGGCAGGCACUUGGUUGAAGCAAACAGCCCCCUUCCUGCCUGGUGUACAUGCCCACCAGGUGGCUCUGUUUGAGGGUCCGGCCCCUCGUUAAUUCCGAUGUUAUUCAGCCAAGUACCUACUCCCGCAAUGCUAAUCUGAACUGCUACUAUUUUAGGAUUCUGCCCAAGGAAGGGCGCUGUGUAUCGAGAAAAGGGUGCUAGGCAUCACAUUUAGCUGUCCCCUUCUAAUCAGUGGCAGCCUGAUUGAUGGAGAAAAAGGAACUUUCUAUAUGCCUAGAUUUUAAAAGAUAUUUUUGAGCUGUACAAAUUGAAUUUUUAUUAGAGGAAAAGGGAGUCUGUGGCAUUUUUGAUAACCACUAGUCAAUUCCAUUGCUAUCCUCAGUAAAACAAUUGGAAUUUGGCUCUUGGAACCUUUACAAGUGUUUCUGACUGAGAUCAUCCCUGGGGAGGCUCAAAAAAUUUGUGUGAUGGAGGAAGAGGCAGUCUGACCCCUUAUUUCAGAGGGUCAGGAGGCUGUGUCUUAGAGAAGUGAAGUGAUCUCUCCAGGGCCACACAGCUGUAGGUGGCAUAGCUAAGUCAACCUCACAUCUGUUGGCUCCACUAUAAAAUGAUGCUGUCUCAUUUGUUUUUUAGCCUUUGUUUUACUUCAGCUCUCAUAAGGAAUGAGCUCAUGAUUAUUCCACUUUAGUGAGUAUCCUUGUCAAAGGCAUGUUAAAAAUUUAAAUAAAUUCUUGGUGCAGAUCCUC